rnacentral:rRNA from 1 species
UCGAACGGUAACAGGAAGCAGCUUGCUGCUUUGCUGACGAGUGGCGGACGGGUGAGUAAUGUCUGGGAAACUGCCUGAUGGAGGGGGAUAACUACUGGAAACGGUAGCUAAUACCGCAUAACGUCGCAAGACCAAAGAGGGGGACCUUCGGGCCUCUUGCCAUCGGAUGCGCCCAGAUGGGAUUAGCUUGUUGGUGGGGAAACGGCUCAACCUAGGGCGACGAUCCCCAGCUGGUCUGAGAGGAUGACCAGCCACACGGGAACUGAGACACGGUCCAGACUCCUACGGGAGGCAGCAGUGGGGAAUAUUGCACAAUGGGCGCAAGCCUGAUGCAGCCAUGCCGCGUGUAUGAAGAAGGCCUUCGGGUUGUAAAGUACUUUCAGCGGGGAGGAAGGGAGUAAAGUUAAUACCUUUGCUCAUUGACGUUACCCGCAGAAGAAGCACCGGCUAACUCCGUGCCAGCAGCCGCGGUAAUACGGAGGGUGCAAGCGUUAAUCGGAAUUACUGGGCGUAAAGCGCACGCAGGCGGUUUGUUAAGUCAGAUGUGAAAUCCCCGGGCUCAACCUGGGAACUGCAUCUGAUACUGGCAAGCUUGAGUCUCGUAGAGGGGGGUAGAAUUCCAGGUGUAGCGGUGAAAUGCGUAGAGAUCUGGAGGAAUACCGGUGGCGAAGGCGGCCCCCUGGACGAAGACUGACGCUCAGGUGCGAAAGCGUGGGGAGCAAACAGGAUUAGAUACCCUGGUAGUCCACGCCGUAAACGAUGUCGACUUGGAGGUUGUGCCCUUGAGGCGUGGCUUCCGGAGCUAACGCGUUAAGUCGACCGCCUGGGGAGUACGGCCGCAAGGUUAAAACUCAAAUGAAUUGACGGGGGCCCGCACAAGCGGUGGAGCAGGUGGUUUAAUUCGAUGCAACGCGAAGAACCUUACCUGGUCUUGACAUCCACGGAAGUUUUCAGAGAUGAGAAUGUGCCUUCGGGAACCGUGAGACAGGUGCUGCAUGGCUGUCGUCAGCUCGUGUUGUGAAAUGUUGGGUUAAGUCCCGCAACGAGCGCAACCCUUAUCCUUUGUUGCCAGCGGUCCGGCCGGGAACUCAAAGGAGACUGCCAGUGAUAAACUGGAGGAAGGUGGGGAUGACGUCAAGUCAUCAGGGCCCUUACAACCAGGGCUACCACACGUGCUACAAUGGCGCAUACAAAGAGAAGCGACCUCGCGAGAGCAAGCGGACCUCAUAAAGUGCGUCGUAGUCCGGAUUGGAGUCUGCAACUCGACUCCAUGAAGUCGGAAUCGCUAGUAAUCGUGGAUCAGAAUGCCACGGUGAAUACGUUCCCGGGCCUUGUACACACCGCCCGUCACACCAUGGGAGUGGGUUGCAAAAGAAGUAGGUAGCUUAACCUUCGGGAGGG